UACGUAGGGACCAAGCGUUGUUCGGAUUUACUGGGCGUAAAGGGCUCGUAGGCGGCCAAUUAAGUCGGACGUGAAAUCCCCAGGCUCAACCUGGGAACUGCGUCUGAUACUGGAUGGCUUGAAUCCGGGAGAGGGAUGCAGAAUUCCAGGUGUAGCGGUGAAAUGCGUAGAUAUCUGGAGGAAUACCGGUGGCGAAGGCGGCAUCCUGGACCGGCAUUGACGCUGAGGAGCGAAAGCCAGGGGAGCAAACGGG
rnacentral:rRNA from 1 species